UUUUAAUAGCUUAUAUUUAGAGCAUAAUAUUGAAGAUAUUAAGGAAGAUUUUUUCUUUAAAAUAU
rnacentral:tRNA from 1 species